ACUGCUGCCUCCUAAAGCGUUUUUCUCUUUCACCAGGUGGUGACGGGUGACAGUGGUGUCACAGACGUGGACCAUAAGGCCAAGCUUGUCUACGAGGACGCGUCCUCUGAUGAAGACAAGGCUUCAGGCGAUGAAGGUCUUCCAGACGAAGAUUCUGAUAACUGGGAGGAGGAUGAGGCUAUGGAAGAUGAGGAUAGAGAAGAAGAGACGGAAGGCAUGAGGACGGAAUCCAAAGCUAACGGUGAUUCCGACAUGGAACCGGGAAACGAGAGCGAGGAAGAGUGAUGCUCUUCAAAGGAAAUGAUCUCAAAAUGAACACA